CAGUCGCCGCGGGUAAUACAGAGGGUGCAAGCGUUAAUCGGAAUUACUGGGCGUAAAGCGCGCGUAGGUGGUUUGUUAAGUUGGAUGUGAAAUCCCCGGGCUCAACCUGGGAACUGCAUCCAAAACUGGCAAGCUAGAGUAUGGUAGAGGGUGGUGGAAUUUCCUGUGUAGCGGUGAAAUGCGUAGAUAUAGGAAGGAACACCAGUGGCGAAGGCGACCACCUGGACUGAUACUGACACUGAGGUGCGAAAGCGUGGGGAGCAAACAGGAUUAGAUACCCCAGUAGUCCCUGUCUCUUAUU
rnacentral:rRNA from 1 species